AAAUUGAAGAGUUUGAUCAUGGCUCAGAUUGAACGCUGGCGGCAGGCCUAACACAUGCAAGUCGAACGGUAACAGGAAGCAGCUUGCUGCUUUGCUGACGAGUGGCGGACGGGUGAGUAAUGUCUGGGAAACUGCCUGGUGGAGGGGGAUAACUACUGGAAACGGUAGCUAAUACCGCAUAA
rnacentral:rRNA from 1 species